AUUGAGAGAGCAUUUCCUUUUGUUCAAAUUGUGUUUUAAAUGCCUUCCCAUAAAAUGUAAGGCAAAUUUACUUUUACUUAGCAAAUAUUUUCCUAUGAACCUUGUUAAGAGCACUGACUGCUCUUCUAGAGGUCCUGAGUUCAAUUCCCAACGACCAUAUAUAAUGGUGGCUCACAACCACUGUAAUGGGAUCCAUGUGUACUCAUACAUAAAAUAAAUUUAAGAAAAAAAGGAAAAAAGAAAGAGAGGCUGGGGAGAUGGCUCAGCGGUUAAGAGCACUGACUGUACUUCUAGAGGUCCUGAGUUCAAUUCCCAGCAACCACAUGGUGGCUCACACCAUCUGUAACGAAAUCUGAUGCCCUCUUCUGGAGUAUCUGAGGACAGCUACAGUGUACUUACAUAUAAUAAAUAAAUCUAAAAAAAAAGAAAAUCUAAAACACUUUAAAAUGAUAAACAGAAAAGACAUUUUCUUGACAUUAAGAAAAGACAUUAAUAAAAGACAUUAAUCUUGGCAUUAAGAUUUCAAAAACUCCUUGAGUUAGCUCUGUUUUACAGACACUAAGAAUUUAGUCUUUACGGUCCUCAUAAACUAGUGUCAUGUAUAUAGCAUUUGUUGCACAUUUAGUAAGUAUUUAUUUAUUUUUAUUAUGUGUAUGCAUGUUUUACCUGCAUGUAUGUCUGUAUACCAUGUGUAUGCAGUGUCUAUGAAGGCCAGAAGACAAUGAUCUCAUGGCAGUAGAGUUAUAAGCCACUAUAUGGGAUUUCUGGGAAUAAACUCCAGGUCCUCUGGAAGAGUAGCCAGUGCUUUUAAAACCUCUGAGCCAUUUCUCCAGCCCACCAUUAAAUAAAUUUGUUAUUUGAUAAUUACAUACAAGGAGAUGUGGUAGCUUGUAUAUUUGAGGCCAGCCUUGGUUACAGUGUGAGAUCCUCAAUAUUAAUAUUAAAAUAAUAUUAAAAUUAGGAAAAAUGCAUUUUAGCAUGUUCCUUGCCAAAACUGUGUGUAUGUUUCAUUUUGUGAAGUUAAAUGCAAAGAAGUAGAUAAAUACUUGAGAUGUAUUCUAGAAAUUGUAUUCUUUAGGGAUGAGGUAUAUUUUUCCUUAUGAUUUCUGAAUGUACAAAGUACUAAUUGCACAUUAAAAGGAUAUGCUAACUAUACUUUUUAAAGUUUGGUUAUUAAAUACAGCCAAGACCAGACCAUUAGACAAGUGCAGGGUGGCAUCCUAAUGUCACUAAGGGGUUUCCACUUUUGGUUGAGCAGCCCAUAAUCUUUAGAUAAAAUGGUUCCCCAGGUUCCUAACUGCAGAAGUCACUGUUCAGGUAAGACUCUUUUUCUGUGUAGUCUUACAUAAGCUGUGAAUGUAGAUUUUUAACUAAGCAGUAGUUUUGUGGCGUUUAUGCCUAUUCCUUUUAAUAAACUCAACUGUUUAUGCAUCACCAUGAGCACUACAAUCAUUUUGGUUCUUAUAUAAAUAGGCAGCAUUGUUACGUGUCUGUUACGGGCAGUUACAGUUUAACAUUUGCUUUCACUGAGGCUUGUUUGAUUCAUGAUUUUCAUUUGGCUUCUAGCAACCAUCUGUUAGUUAAAGUUUAACUUUCAAGGCUCUAUGUAAUUUGGUUUCUGUUAACAAGGUGCCGUAAACAGCAUUAUGAAGUUUUUCUCUUUUAAUCUUGAAAGGAAAAAAAUCCAUAUCUAAAAAAGCAAUCACAAAGAAGAGGAAAACUGUCACAAAGUCACCUGCUGUGCCGGAAUUUCAGGUAAAUGUUUCAAUAUUGUCACCAAGUUUUUCCGUUUAAUUUUUUGUUUUAGCUCCAUUCCUUGUGAGAAUGGCUGGAUUUCAAGAAACUACAAGAUGUAUUUAAUGACUUUUUCUAACAAUGUGUUUUUCUUUAAAGUACAGAUGUAGGCAAAAUGUUAUUUUUUUAAACCUCUUUAUCUCUCAUAAACCUUGGUAUUUUUAGUUAAACCUAUACUAACUUUUGUAGAUAAAGUUUAAUCAAGUAUAUAUACAUAUAUCUCUUUUCUUUAUGUCCGUUUGCAUGUAUUCCUAAGUACACAUAAACAAAUUUCCUUUCUUCUAAAGGAAAAAAAAUCAUGUUUUGUACAUAGUGAUGCUACUCUGAUAAUUCAUUCUUAUGUAGUUUAACCAGUAUAGAAAUGGUGGACUAACUUGAAAGGUAUUUUAACUUUUAACUAUAAAUAAACUAUAUUCAGUAAAGGCUAAAUAUAAUAGUCUUUAAACAUUUCUGC
rnacentral:lncRNA from 1 species